rnacentral:rRNA from 1 species
AUACGUAGGGGGCGAGCGUUGUCCGGAAUGACUGGGCGUAAAGGGCGUGUAGGCGGCGCUGUAAGUCUGGAGUGAAAGUCCCGUUUUCAAGGUGGGAACUGCUUUGGAUACUGCAGAGCUUGAGUGCGGAAGAGGUAAGUGGAAUUCCCAGUGUAGCGGUGAAAUGCGUAGAGAUUGGGAGGAACACCAGUGGCGAAGGCGACUUACUGGGCCGUAACUGACGCGGAGUCGCGAAAGCGUGGGGAGCAAACAGGAUUAGAUUCCCUGUUAGUCCACGCCGUAAACGAUGAAUACUAGGUGUAGGGGUUGUCAUGACCUCUGUGCCGCCGCUAACGCAUUAAGUAUUCCGCCUGGGGAGUACGGUCGCAAGAUUAAAACUCAAAUGAAUUGGCGGG